CACUUAGGAAAGAUUCUUCGGAGGAUUUCCUAUUUGACUGAGCGGCGGACGGGUGAGUAACGCGUGGGUAACCUGCCUCAUACAGGGGGAUAACAGUUAGAAAUGACUGCUAAUACCGCAUAAGACCACAGCACCGCAUGGUGCAGGGGUAAAAACUCCGGUGGUAUGAGAUGGACCCGCGUCUGAUUAGUUAGUUGGUGGGGUAACGGCCUACCAAGGCGACGAUCAGUAGCCGACCUGAGAGGAAGGUCCCCACAUUGGAACUGAGACACGGUCCAAACUCC
rnacentral:rRNA from 1 species